GAUGAACGCUGGCGGCGUGCCUAAUACAUGCGAGUCGAGCGAACGGACGAGAAGCUUGCUUUUCUGAUGUUAGCGGCGGACGGGUGAGUAACACGUGGAUAACCUACCUAUAAGACUGGGAUAACUUCGGGAAACCGGAGCUAAUACCGGAUAAUAUUUUGAACCGCAUGGUUCAAAAGUGAAAGACGGUCUUGCUGUCACUUAUAGAUGGAUCCGCGCUGCAUUAGCUAGUUGGUAAGGUAACGGCUUACAAGGCAACGAUGCAUAGCCGACCUGAGAGGGUGAUCGGCCACACUGGAACUGAGACACGGUCCAGACUCCUACGGGAGGCAGCAGUAGGGAAUCUUCCGCAAUGGGCGAAAGCCUGACGGAGCAACGCCGCGUGAGUGAUGAAGGUCUUCGGAUCGUAAAACUCUGUUAUUAGGGAAGAACAUAUGUGUAAGUAACUGUGCACAUCUUGACGGUACCUAAUCAGAAAGCCACGGCUAACUACGUG
rnacentral:rRNA from 1 species